GGAACCCACGUAAAAAUUAUUCCACCUAAGCUGAAUCGAAAUUUGUUUUUUAAUCGGAAGGGAUUUUAUAGUCUCAACGUUCUGAUUGUUUGUGACGAUCAGCAAAGGAUUCGUUUCGUUGAUCCUACCUUCCAGGGAUCUAAUCAUGACUCUCAUAUAUGGCGUGUAAGCCCUGCAAGAACUCACUUUGAGCAGCUUCAACAAAAUGGUGAAGUUAAUACUAAGAUUCUAGGUGAUGCUGGUUAUCCAUCGGAACCUUGGUUAGUAACGCCAUUCAGAGCAGCGGAGGAAGGGAGUUUGGAGAGCGAUUUUAAUCGCAGGCAUGCCUUGGGUCGUGCUAUCGUCGAGCGGACAAUCGGUUUACUAAAAAAUCGGUUUAGAUGCAUCCUUGGC